AACUACCCACAGCAAGGUCUCCAACCUCUCUGUUUCAUGCUAAAGACUGCCUUACAAGACCGUCGUGACGCCUGAGGAGGAAGCCAACGCCUUCGCGCGGGGCCUGGUACACAGCAGCGCGCGGCAAGCUCGGGCCCUUUCCGCCGCUCCUCCCCACAUUCCACGGGAACCUUGCGCCGCCCCACCUCCCUGAGCGCCGCCCUGCGAAGCAGCGAGCAGAAAUGAGGGAGCCUUGCGAUCUCCUACCUUCUGCCGGGAGCUUUCAGGCGAUGUGGCUUGGCCCCUGGCCUGAGGCCGCGCGGAUCGGGUGACCACCAUUUUUCCAGCUCCCGACUCCCCGGCGACCACCGCGGCCCGCCUCUCUUCCGGCGCGCCGGAAGUGCGUCAGAGAAGUGCCUGGCUCGUUUUUUUCGCGUGAAUCCCGGAACUCGCCAGAAUCUCGCACCUGCCUCCGCCCCACCGACGGAGGCGGGGCCCGUUAGACCUGGGGGGUCUCAAAAGCCACAGUUUUAGCGGUCGCUCCAGUGCGUAGAAAACAGACCAGGCUUUUGCAGGGAGAGACCUUCGUGGAGGCUGCGAAACUCGCAGUGAUAGAGGGCCCUCGUCCCCGUUUCACACGAACGAAUUGGGAAAAUCGCAUCUUCUGCUUCACGCACCCUCUCAUUUGUUCAGCAAUUCUGAAGGUCUCAGUGUAGCCAUGGGUGUGACCGAAGGAGACUUUUCGUUAUUUAUUAUAUAUAUAUAUUUUUACAAUCAUGUAUUAUUUGUGAAGUUAAAUAUGAAUAAAAUUUCAAGAGUUGGUUGCGGUAAAGAUGUAUACGUUAAAUGCCCCAGGAACUCGGAGACAGUUGGGAACUAUAUAAUCUAACGGUGAGAUGGUGAGUAGGGAUUGAGAAUAAGCAGAAAAGAAGUGUUAAGGAAAUUGUAAAGAAGAGCGAUAAAAAAAAAAAAUUGGAGUGAAAGGAAAAGAAUGACCAGAAUCAAGAGAAGCUUUUUGAUUUUCUUUUGGGAUGAAGAGUGGAGAGCUGGAACAUGAGGGGAAUGGAAGAGGAUUGAAGAAGCCACUGUCAUUUGGGGAUUUUCUGUUAUUUACAGCCAAGCCUAAUCCCAACUGAAGAAUGGAAUAAAAUACAGCGAUGGAGAGGUUAGCUACACAGAAGAAUGCUCCUUCCUGUGAGGGAGGGGAGAAGAGUGGAUGAAGCAGAGAGAAUGUGAAUGCAGGGAAAUUAAAGUGGAGACAAGAGAUUUUGCAUAGAUAACCUCAGUCUUCUCUGUAAGUAGAAGGUGAUUCAUCUGCUCAGAGAAUGAAAACAAUUUAGAUUGACUCGUGAGGAAUGUGGUAAGGAGCAAAAAGAAGGAGUUUUAGUUGGGCCAAGUAGCAAUGAGACUGUGUAAGAUGAAGAACAGAAAAGAAAACAGGCCGGAUUUGAAGAGGAGGCAGAAUGGUGUAGAGGAAGGCAAGUGAACCAAUUAGAGGAGGGUAGUAGAGAUCAAAACAGCAGAGGACAACAGCAUCAGUCAUACUAAUAGUAUUGAGUACUUAACAUACGUGGGGUACUAAGUGCUUUAUACAUGUAUUAACUCAUUCAGUCUCUACAACAAUUUUAACAUGAGCAAAAGCAUGCAAGUAGAAAUUAAGAUCAUAGGAGUGGGUAUAGAAAAUUGGAAGAGCAUUAGAAAAUCAGUGUGUGGCACCUUGAAAGUAAACAAAAACGCCCAAACAUUUACAAUUUUAAAAGGUCAAGAAACAAACCUAAAAUACUAAAAAUGUCAGUACAUACUCAUAAUAUGAGAAGACUGAGCUGGUCUACUAUCAACAGGGCUGCUGGUUAUAGGCAAAACUGCCAAGUGUUCUGUUUUUAUUUUAUGUGGGCUUACCAGUUCUGCCCUGUUUCUCUACUUUCUUUACCUAACCUCUUCUUUACCCAAAGUGGAUUUUGGGCAAGUAUAGUAUACCCAAUUUUAGCUAAAUACAGUAUAAAAAUACAGUAAUUUUUAUUCAGGCCCAAAAGAAAACUCUCCCUUGAUAGUCUAUAUUUACUAAUGAAAUCUUUAAACUGAAGGAUUGAAUCUCUCUCUGGAAUUUUAGGCAUUAACCAAAAGAUGAGAGUUUUAGUGCAUGAGCCUUCUAAAAAUACAUACCAUUCACGGUCAUUCUGCAUUAUUACAUAUAAAACAUUACUUUUAAAUUAAGUCUGAUCUGUAAGAUGGUCCCCAAGGAUCCCAUCUCCUAGUCUUCAAACCUUUGAGUGUGGGCUGGACCUAGUGACUUACUUAAAACCAAAAGAAUGUAACAAAAAUGAUAGAUGUCACUUUCAAGAAUAGGUUACGAAAAAGGCUGUCUUCUAUCUUGCACUCUCUCACUUGUUCAUUCUGUGGGAAGCUGGCUAGCUGCAUGUUAUGAGCUGCCCUAUGGAGAGGGCCACAUGGCAAGGAAGUGUGGGAGGGCCUAUGGCCCGUAGCCAGCGAGGAACUGAGUCCAGCCAACCACCACAUGAGUGAGCUUGGAAGCCGACCAACCUCAAUCAGGCCCACAGGUGAGACUGUAGUCCCACCUGACACUUUGAUUGCAACAAUUUGAGAGACUGUGAGGUACCCAGAUGCAGCAAUAGAUAAUACAGUCACUAUUGGCUAAUUUUGUUCUAAAACUUCAUGUAAAAAAAUAUAUAUAGUAUGUACUCUGAUGUCUAGCUUCUUUCACUCAGCAUAAUGUUUCUGAGAUUCAUCCAUGUUACUCUGUAUACCAGUAGUUCAUUCUUUUUUAUUGCUGAGUAGUAUUCCAUUGUAUGAUUAUACUACAGUUCACCUAUCCAUUCAACUGCUGAUAGACAUUUGGGGCAUUUCCAGUUUUCAGCUAUUAUGAGUAAAGUGCUAUCAACAUUCUUA